GACGAACGCUGGCGGCGUGCUUAACACAUGCAAGUCGAACGGUGAAGCGAGAGCUUGCUCUCGUGGAUCAGUGGCGAACGGGUGAGUAACACGUGAGUAACCUGCCCCAGACUCUGGGAUAAGCCUUGGAAACGAGGUCUAAUACCGGAUACGAGACGAGAUCGCAUGGUCAUCGUCUGGAAAGAAUUUCGGUCUGGGAUGGACUCGCGGCCUAUCAGCUUGUUGGUGAGGUAAUGGCUCACCAAGGCGACGACGGGUAGCCGGCCUGAGAGGGCGACCGGCCACACUGGAACUGAGACACGGUCCAGACUCCUACGGGAGGCAGCAGUGGGGAAUAUUGCACAAUGGGCGCAAGCCUGAUGCAGCGACGCCGCGUGGGGGAUGAAGGCCUUCGGGUUGUAAACCCCUUUCAGCAGGGAAGAAGCGAAAGUGACGGUAC
rnacentral:rRNA from 1 species